AGAAAAAAAAAAAAAAAAGAAGGUGGGUGUUCUGAUUAAAAGCUUGUCCAUUCCCUACAUGGCGUACCGUUUCUCCCUAUGUGGAUUUUCUGGUGCUGUGAAAGUUCUGACCUAUAUUUAAAGGCUUUUCUACAUUCUUUACAAUUGUAUGAUAUCUUCCCAGGGUAAAUUCUCUGAUGUUGGUGAAAGACUGACCUUAGUUUGAAACAUCAGCUUCACUCACCACAUUCAUUAGAUCUGUUCUGUGUGAACUCUCAGAUUUGUAACAAGGUGCAUGCUGUCACUAAUGAUUUUACCUAAUUUCUUAAACUUCUCUUCUGAACAGUGGAGGGACCUAUAUUGCCUGACUGAUACAUCUAUGAAACCUCUCUUCUUUGUCUUUUUCUUCCUUGUGCAAUGACCCUGCUGCCACUCUAAGCUGCCCUAAUGGUCAGAGUGCUAGACUGCAUCCCUUGCUGAUGUCAGUCCUUGGGGUUCUAUUUCUUCAGAAGUUGGCAACUGUGGAUUAGUCCCUUAAUGACAAUUCUGGUCUUAUAUGGUGACAUAACAAAAAGAAAAGACAAGGCCAGACAUGGUGGCUCGCACCUGUAAUCCCAGUACUUUGGGAGGCCG
rnacentral:lncRNA from 10 species